CUAUCGUUAACUGAAUACAUAGGUUAACGAGGCGAACCGGGGGAACUGAAACAUCUAAGUACCCCGAGGAAAAGAAAUCAACCGAGAUUCCCCCAGUAGCGGCGAGCGAACGGGGAGCAGCCCGGAGUCUGAAUCAGCUUGUGUGUUAGUGGAACGGUCUGGAAAGUCCGACGGUACAGGGUGAUAGUCCCGUACACGAAAGCACACUUGCUGUGAACUCGAAGAGUAGGGCGGGACACGUGGUAUCCUGUCUGAAUAUGGGGGGACCAUCCUCCAAGGCUAAAUACUCCUGACUGACCGAUAGUGAACCAGUACCGUGAGGGAAAGGCGAAAAGAACCCCGGCGAGGGGAGUGAAAAAGAACCUGAAACCGUGUACGUACAAGCAGUGGGAGCCUCUUUAUGGGGUGACUGCGUACCUUUUGUAUAAUGGGUCAGCGACUUAUAUUCUGUAGCAAGGUUAACCGUAUAGGGGAGCCGAAGGGAAACCGAGUCUUAACUGGGCGUUAAGUUGCAGGGUAUAGACCCGAAACCCGGUGAUCUAGCCAUGGGCAGGUUGAAGGUUGGGUAACACUAACUGGAGGACCGAACCGACUAAUGUUGAAAAAUUAGCGGAUGACCUGUGGCUGGGGGUGAAAGGCCAAUCAAACCGGGAGAUAGCUGGUUCUCCCCGAAAGCUAUUUAGGUAGCGCCUCGUGAACUCAUCUUCGGGGGUAGAGCACUGUUUCGGCUAGGGGGCCAUCCCGGCUUACCAACCCGAUGCAAACUACGAAUACCGAAGAAUGUUAUCACGGGAGACACACGGCGGGUGCUAACGUCCGUCGUGAAGAGGGAAACAACCCAGACCGCCAGCUAAGGUCCCAAAGUCAUGGUUAAGUGGGAAACGAUGUGGGAAGGCACAGACAGCCAGGAUGUUGGCUUAGAAGCAGCCAUCAUUUAAAGAAAGCGUAAUAGCUCACUGGUCGAGUCGGCCUGCGCGGAAGAUGUAACGGGGCUAAACCAUGCACCGAAGCUGCGGCAGCGACACUAUGUGUUGUUGGGUAGGGGAGCGUUCUGUAAGCCGUUGAAGGUGUGCUGUGAGGCAUGCUGGAGGUAUCAGAAGUGCGAAUGCUGACAUAAGUAACGAUAAAGCGGGUGAAAAGCCCGCUCGCCGGAAGACCAAGGGUUCCUGUCCAACGUUAAUCGGGGCAGGGUGAGUCGACCCCUAAGGCGAGGCCGAAAGGCGUAGUCGAUGGGAAACAGGUUAAUAUUCCUGUACUUGGUGUUACUGCGAAGGGGGGACGGAGAAGGCUAUGUCAGCCGGGCGACGGUUGUCCCGGUUUAAGCAUGUAGGCGGAGGUUCCAGGUAAAUCCGGUACCUUGUUAACGCUGAGGUGUGAUGACGAGGCACUACGGUGCUGAAGUGAUAAAUGCCCUGCUUCCAGGAAAAGCCUCUAAGCAUCAGGUAACACGAAAUCGUACCCCAAACCGACACAGGUGGUCAGGUAGAGAAUACCAAGGCGCUUGAGAGAACUCGGGUGAAGGAACUAGGCAAAAUGGUGCCGUAACUUCGGGAGAAGGCACGCUGAUGUGUAGGUGAAGUCCCUGCGGACGGAGCUGAAAUCAGUCGAAGAUACCAGCUGGCUGCAACUGUUUAUUAAAAACACAGCACUGUGCAAACACGAAAGUGGACGUAUACGGUGUGACGCCUGCCCGGUGCCGGAAGGUUAAUUGAUGGGGUUAGCGGCAACGCGAAGCUCUUGAUCGAAGCCCCGGUAAACGGCGGCCGUAACUAUAACGGUCCUAAGGUAGCGAAAUUCCUUGUCGGGUAAGUUCCGACCUGCACGAAUGGCGUAAUGAUGGCCAGGCUGUCUCCACCCGAGACUCAGUGAAAUUGAACUCGCUGUGAAGAUGCAGUGUACCCGCGGCAAGACGGAAAGACCCCGUGAACCUUUACUAUAGCUUGACACUGAACACUGGUCCUUGAUGUGUAGGAUAGGUGGGAGGCUUUGAAGCGUGGACGCCAGUCUGCGUGGAGCCAACCUUGAAAUACCACCCUUUAAUGGCUGGUGUUCUAACGUAGACCCGUAAUCCGGGUUGCGGACAGUGUCUGGUGGGUAGUUUGACUGGGGCGGUCUCCUCCCAAAGAGUAACGGAGGAGCACGAAGGUUGGCUAAUCCUGGUCGGACAUCAGGAGGUUAGUGCAAUGGCAUAAGCCAGCUUGACUGCGAGCGUGACGGCGCGAGCAGGUGCGAAAGCAGGUCAUAGUGAUCCGGUGGUUCUGAAUGGAAGGGCCAUCGCUCAACGGAUAAAAGGUACUCCGGGGAUAACAGGCUGAUACCGCCCAAGAGUUCAUAUCGACGGCGGUGUUUGGCACCUCGAUGUCGGCUCAUCACAUCCUGGGGCUGAAGUAGGUCCCAAGGGUAUGGCUGUUCGCCAUUUAAAGUGGUACGCGAGCUGGGUUUAGAACGUCGUGAGACAGUUCGGUCCCUAUCUGCCGUGGGCGCUGGAGAAUUGAGGGGGGCUGCUCCUAGUACGAGAGGACCGGAGUGGACGCAUCACUGGUGUUCGGGUUGUCAUGCCAAUGGCACUGCCCGGUAGCUAAAUGCGGAAGAGAUAAGUGCUGAAAGCAUCUAAGCACGAAACUUGCCCCGAGAUGAGUUCUCCCUGAGACCUUGAGUCUCCUGAAGGAACGUUGAAGACGACGACGUUGAUAGGUCGGGUGUGUAAGCGCAGCGAUGCGUUGAGCUAACCGAUACUAAUGAACCGUGAGGCUUAACCUU
rnacentral:rRNA from 2 species